CCUACGGGUGGCAGCAGUGAGGAAUAUUGGUCAAUGGGCGCGAGCCUGAACCAGCCAAGUCGCGUGCGGGAGGACGGCCCUACGGGUUGUAAACCUCUUUUGCCGGGGAGCAACGGGCGUCACGUGUAGCGCCCCUGAGAGUACCCGGAGAAAAAGCAUCGGCUAACUACGUGACAGCAGCCGCGGUAAUCCGGAGGAUGCUAGAGUUCUCCGGUGUUAUUGGGUUUAAAGGGUGACUAGGUGGAUCGUUAAGUCAGUGGUCAAAUUAAUGGGCUUAACCCAUUCCCGCCAUUGAUACUGGCGAUCUUGAGUGGGAGAGAAGUAAGCGGAAUGCGUGGUGGAGCGGUGAAAUGCGUAGAUAUCACGCAGAACCCCGAUGGCGAAGGCAGCAUGCCGGAUUCCGACUGACGCUGAAGCACGAAAGCGUGGGGAUCGAACAGGAUUAGAUAUCCGUGUAGUC
rnacentral:rRNA from 1 species